rnacentral:rRNA from 1 species
UGGGGAAUAUUGGACAAUGGGCGAAAGCCUGAUCCAGCCAUGCCGCGUGUGUGAAGAAGGUCUUCGGAUUGUAAAGCACUUUAAGUUGGGAGGAAGGGCAGUAAGCGAAUACCUUGCUGUUUUGACGUUACCGACAGAAUAAGCACCGGCUAACUCUGUGCCAGCAGCCGCGGUAAUACAGAGGGUGCAAGCGUUAAUCGGAAUUACUGGGCGUAAAGCGCGCGUAGGUGGUUCGUUAAGUUGAAUGUGAAAGCCCCGGGCUCAACCUGGGAACUGCAUCCAAAACUGGCGAGCUAGAGUAGGGCAGAGGGUGGUGGAGUUUCCUGUGUAGCGGUGAAAUGCGUAGAUAUAGGAAGGAACACCAGUGGCGAAGGCGACCCCCUGUGCUCAUACUGACACUGAGGUGCGAAAGCGUGGGGUGCAAACAGG